UUUAAGAUAAAUAAUUUAAAGUYUAAUUUGCUCCMUGAUAAAAUUAUUAAAUAGCUGCAGUAUCCUAACUGUACAAAGGUAGCAUAAUCAAUAGUUUUUUAAUUAAAAGCUGGAAUGAAGGAUUUGAUAAGGUUAAUAUUGUCUCAAUUUUGGUGGAAUUAUAAUUUUUUUUUUAGUAAAAAUACUAAAUUGAAUUUAAAAGACGAGAAGACCCUAUAGAUUUUUAUAUUUUUUAAUUUAAAUUAAUUAAAAAAAAAUAAUAUUUUUAAAUUAAAAAUUAUUUGGUUGGGGUAAUUAUUAAAUUAAUUAAAUUUUAAUUAUUGUAAACAAAAAUUAUUGAAUUAUUGAUCUUAAUUUUUUAGAAUAAAAGAAUAAAUUACCUUAGGGAUAACAGCGUAAUUUUUUUAGAGAGAUCAUAUUGAUAAAAAAGUUUGCGACCUCGAUGUUGAAUUAAGAUAAAAUUUUAAUGGAGAAAUUAAAAAUUUUUGGBCUGUUCRACCAUUAAAAUCUUACGUGAUCUGAGUUC
rnacentral:rRNA from 1 species